GCUGUCUCUUGGAGUUCCUCUGAGCACUUCACGAAUGACCUAGUUCUAUUUGGUAUUACCCUUUAGAUAGAAUAGUCUUAUAUAAGUGAAGUGUUUGGGGGAACUUUUGGGUACAAC
rnacentral:pre_miRNA from 1 species